rnacentral:rRNA from 1 species
UAGACCGGCCUGAGAGGGUGAACGGCCACACUGGGACUGAGACACGGCCCAAACUCCUACGGGAGGCAGCAG